CGCGAAGAACCUUACCGGGGCUUGACAUUGUCUUGCCCGUCUAAGAAAUUAGACCUUCCUCCUUUACCGGAAGACGAGAUAACAGGUGGUGCAUGGUUGUCGUCAGCUCGUGUCGUGAGAUGUUGGGUUAAGUCCCACAACGAGCGCAACCCUUGUGCCUAGUUGCUAACUUGUUUUACAAGUGCACUCUAGGCAGACUGCCGCAGAUAAUGCGGAGGAAGGUGGGGAUGACGUCAAAUCAUCAUGCCCCUUACGUCCCGGGCUACACACGUGCUACAAUGGCCUGUACAGAGGGUAGCGAAAGAGCGAUCUUAAGCCAAUCCCAAAAAGCAGGCCCCAGUUCGGAUUGGAGGCUGCAACUCGCCUCCAUGAAGUAGGAAUCGCUAGUAAUCGCGGAUCAGCAUGCCGCGGUGAAUACGUUCCCGGGCCUUGUACACACCGCCCGUCACACCACGAAAGUUGGCGAUACCUGAAGUUACUAGGCUAACCCCGUGAGGGGAGGCAGGUACCGAAGGUAUGGCUAGCGAUUGGGGUGAAGUCGUAACAAGGUAACCUUAAUUAAAA
rnacentral:rRNA from 1 species